rnacentral:rRNA from 1 species
AUUGAACGCUGGCGGCAGGCCUAACACAUGCAAGUCGAACGGUAACAGGAAGAAGCUUGCUUCUUUGCUGACGAGUGGCGGACGGGGGAGUAAUGUCUGGGAAACUGCCUGAUGGAGGGGGAUAACUACUGGAAACGGUAGCUAAUACCGCAUAAUGUCGCAAGACCAAAGAGGGGGACCUUCGGGCCUCUUGCCAUCGGAUGUGCCCAGAUGGGAUUAGCUAGUAGGUGGGGUAACGGCUCACCUAGGCGACGAUCCCUAGCUGGUCUGAGAGGAUGACCAGCCACACUGGAACUGAGACACGGUCCAGACUCCUACGGGAGGCAGCAGUGGGGAAUAUUGCACAAUGGGCGCAAGCCUGAUGCAGCUAUGCCGCGUGUAUGAAGAAGGCCUUCGGGUUGUAAAGUACUUUCAGCGGGGAGGAAGGGAGUAAAGUUAAUACCUUUGCUCAUUGACGUUACCCGCAGAAGAAGCACCGGCUAACUCCGUG